CCAGAGGGCUGGAUGACCGCGGGGGUGUAAGCCUUCGAGGAAAGUCCGGGCUCCACGGAAACAUGGCGCCGGGUAACGCCCGGCGGGGGCGACCCCAGGGAUAGCGCCACAGAGAUCAGACCGCCGCGUUCGCGCGGUAAGGGUGAAACGGUGCGGUAAGAGCGCACCGCGUCUUCGGCAACGAAGACGGCACGGCAAGCCCCGCCAGGAGCAAGACCAAAUAGGGAUGGCACAUGAGCUGUUUCCGGCUCGUCAUCCGGGUAGGUCGCGCGAGGCGUCCGGCGACGGACGUCCCAGAGGAAUGGUCAUCCAACCCGUAAGGGUGGACAGAACCCGGCUUACAGGCCCUCUGGCUCA
rnacentral:RNase_P_RNA from 1 species